UGGCUCAGAUUGAACGCUGGCGGCGUGCUUAACACAUGCAAGUCGAACGCGAAAGGGACUUCGGUCCUGAGUAAAGUGGCGCACGGGUGAGUAACGCGUGGAUAAUCUGCCCUUAUGAUCGGGAUAACAGUUGGAAACGGCUGCUAAUACCGGAUACGCUCAAAAUGAACUUUUUGAGGAAAGAUGGCCUCUGCUUGCAUGCUAUCACGUAAGGAUGAGUCCGCGUCCCAUUAGCUUGUUGGCGGGGUAACGGCCCACCAAGGCAACGAUGGGUAGCCGAUUUGAGAGGAUGAUCGGUCACACUGGAACUGAAACACGGUCCAGACUCCUACGGGAGGCAGCAGUGGGGAAUAUUGCGCAAUGGGCGAAAGCCUGACGCAGCGACGCCGCGUGAGGGAUGAAGGUUUUCGGAUCGUAAACCUCUGUCAGAAGGGAAGAAACUACGUUGUGCUAAUCAGCAGCGUACUGACGGUACCUUCAAAGGAAGCACCGGCUAACUCCGUGCCAGCCGCUGC
rnacentral:rRNA from 1 species